rnacentral:rRNA from 1 species
AUUGCUGAAAAGGAAGCGAACGAAGCUAGUGAACGCUGCGUCAUACUUUCCAACUUGCUUGCAAUUUGGACGCUGUGGCCAGCCCAGUUGGGCUUGACUGUGACUGGUGAAAACUGGCAACGAAAAGACUCCAUUUUCUCUCRMSMRCYMUCUGCACCAGUGGCACUUGAGCUGAACGAAAUAGAUUUGUUUGCCCCGUCUAGAAACACGGACCAAGGAGUCUAACAUAUGUGCGAGUACUGGGGCAACCAACCUCGGUGCGCAAUGAAAGUGUCAGAGGCUGGAAUGUCGUAACAAACAUUGCACAGUCCGCCGGCCUCCAUCCCUYGGGAAAAUGGUCUGAGUGUGAGCAUACAUGUUGGGACCCGAAAGAUGGUGAACUAUGCUUGAGUAGGGUGAAGCCAGGGGAAACUUUGGUGAAGGCUCGCAGCGAUUCUGACGUGCAAAUCGAUCGUCAAACUUGAGUAUAGGGGCGAAAGACUAAUCGAACUAUCUAGUAGCU